rnacentral:siRNA from 1 species
GACAACCGGCCAUGUUAAUGAG